rnacentral:rRNA from 1 species
AGCGAACGCUGGCGGCAGGCUUAACACAUGCAAGUCGAACGCCCGUAGCAAUACGGGAGUGGCAGACGGGUGAGUAACGCGUGGGAACAUGCCCUUUGGUUCGGAAUAACUCAGGGAAACUUGAGCUAAUACCGGAUAAGCCCGAGAGGGGAAAGAUUUAUCGCCGAAGGAUUGGCCCGCGUCCGAUUAGCUAGUUGGUGAGGUAAUGGCUCACCAAGGCGACGAUCGGUAGCUGGUCUGAGAGGAUGAUCAGCCACACUGGGACUGAGACACGGCCCAGACUCCUACGGGAGGCAGCAGUGGGGAAUAUUGGACAAUGGGGGCAACCCUGAUCCAGCCAUGCCGCGUGAGUGAUGAAGGCCCGAGGGUUGUAAAGCUCUGUCGGCGGGGACGAUAAUGACGGUACCCGCAGAAGAAGCCCCGGCUAACUUCGUGCCAGCCGCCGCCGUAAAAC